rnacentral:rRNA from 1 species
UCUACGGGAGGCAGCAGUAGGGGAUCUUCCGCAAUGGGCGAAAGCCUGACGGAGCAACGCCGCGUGAGUGAUGAAGGUCUUCGGAUCGUAAAACUCUGUUAUUAGGGAAGAACAUACGUGUAAGUAACUGUGCACGUCUUGACGGUACCUAAUCAGAAAGCCACGGCUAACUACGUGCCAGCAGCCGCGGUAAUACGUAGGUGGCAAGCGUUAUCCGGAAUUAUUGGGCGUAAAGCGCGCGUAGGCGGUUUUUUAAGUCUGAUGUGAAAGCCCACGGCUCAACCGUGGAGGGUCAUUGGAAACUGGAAAACUUGAGUGCAGAAGAGGAAAGUGGAAUUCCAUGUGUAGCGGUGAAAUGCGCAGAGAUAUGGAGGAACACCAGUGGCGAAGGCGACUUUCUGGUCUGUAACUGACGCUGAUGUGCGAAAGCGUGGGGAUCAAACAGGAUUAGAUACCCUGGUAGUCCACGCCGUAAACGAUGAGUGCUAAGUGUUAGGGGGUUUCCGCCCCUUAGUGCUGCAGCUAACGCAUUAAGCACUCCGCCUGGGGAGUACGACCGCAAGGUUGAAACUCAAAGGAAUUGACGGA